UCCAGACUCCUACGGGAGGCAGCAGUGAGGAAUAUUGGUCAAUGGGCUUACGCCUGAACCAGCCAAGUCGCGUGAGGGAAGACUGCCCUAUGGGUUGUAAACCUCUUUUGUCAGGGAGCAACGCCGGCUACGUGUAGCCGGACCGAGAGUACCUGAAGAAAAAGCAUCGGCUAACUCCGUGCCAGCAGCCGCGGUAAUACGGAGGAUGCGAGCGUUAUCCGGAUUUAUUGGGUUUAAAGGGUGCGCAGGCGCCACGGCAAGCCGGCGGUCAAAUCGCGGGGCUCAACCUCGCUCCGCCGUUGAAACUGGCGUUCUUGAGUGGGCGAGAAGUAUGCGGAAUGCGUGGUGUAGCGGUGAAAUGCAUAGAUAUCACGCAGAACUCCGAUUGCGAAGGCAGCAUACCGGCGCCCAACUGACGCUGAAGCACGAAAGCGUGGGUAUCGAACAGGAUUAGAUACCCCGGUAAAA
rnacentral:rRNA from 1 species